rnacentral:rRNA from 1 species
GGAUCGGAGUCUGCAACCCGACUCCGUGAAGCUGGAUUCGCUAGUAAUCGCGCAUCAGCCAUGGCGCGGUGAAUACGUUCCCGGGCCUUGUACACACCGCCCGUCAAGCCAUGGGAGCCGGGGGUGCUUGAAGUGCGUCGCCGCAAGGCGCGCCCUAGAGCAAAACCGGUGACUGGGGCUAAGUCGUAACAAGGUAUC